GUGAGAAGUUAAUAUAGAAGCAAGUGUUAGGAAUGAUUGCUUGGAAGUUAAGUUCAGGCCAUGAAGACAAAUAAAACCAUAUUCUAUGAUCUGAAAACUAUGCAAAGCUCCAUUCAUCUUUCUCGGAAACAAAAGAACUUGAUUGCCAAGAUGUAUGAUUCCAAUAAUCAAGAGUAAAGGGGAAGAAAUGAAGAAGAAAGUUUAUUGAUUCCCCGCCUGAGAAUUCUGCUAACUGGAGGAAAAUGUUAAGUGCAGGAUGUGAGAGCAUUUGGAGCGAGGGGAUACACUGUCCCCUCCCCAGCAUCUGCCUUCCUGCACCAAGACCCGAUUUCUUCUUCAUUGCCUUUUCAUUGCGUCUGCGUUCCCGUUCUACUCUGAUGCCCUGUUCCUCCACACACUUCAAAUCUAAGUGAAUUCUGAUCCAAGACUAUUUAAUAUUUGAAAUGAAAAAAAGGCAAUUUUUGGAGUGCGGAAUAAAAAAAAUUAAAGUACUGGUCUUCAGUGAGCGCACAGGCUACCUGUCUUUCGAAAACAAACCCGAAUAAAGCCAAACAGU
rnacentral:lncRNA from 1 species